CAUGCAAGUCUAACGAGUAGCAAUACUAGUGGCAGACGGGUGAGUAACAUGUAGGUAUCUGCCCUUUGGCCUGGGAAUAACACGAGGAAACUUGUGCUAAUACCUGGAGUAAGUCUUUACGGAGAAAGCUUUAUGCACCAUUGGAUGAGCCUGCACUUGAUUAGUUUGUUGGUGGGGUAAUGGCCUACCAAGACUGUGAUCAAUAGCUGAUUUGAGAGGAUGAUCAGCCACAUUGGGACUGAGACACGGCCCAAACUCCUACGGGAGGCAGCAGUGGGGAAUCUUGCACAAUGGAGGAAACUCUGAUGCAGCUGAUGCCGCGUGAGUGAAGAAGGCCUUUGGGUUGUAACAGCUCUUUCGUCGGGGAAGAAAAUGACUGUACCCGAAUAAGAAGGUCCGGCUAACUUCGUGCCAGCAGCCGCGGUAAUACGAACGGGACCUAGCGUAGUUCGGAAUUACUGGGCUUAAAGAGUUCGUAGGUGGUUGAAAAAGUUGGUGGUGAAAUCCCAGAGCUUAACUCUGGAACUGCCAUCAAAACUUUUCAGCUAGAGUAUGAUAGAGGAAAGCAGAAUUUUCUAGUGUAGAG
rnacentral:rRNA from 1 species